rnacentral:lncRNA from 1 species
AGAGUCUCAAGAAUGAUAAGGUUCUGCACUUGCUUGAGGAAUGUCCCAGGAUUUUAUUCUGCCAGGAAUCUCCAAACUUAGAAUUGGAAGGCAUCUCCAUGGCCAUUUAUGCCAUGUUUGUACCCAGUCCAACCCAUACUCAAAGAGGUUUCCCUGACUUCUCUACAGAUCUCCAGGCUCUGGCCUCUUAUGUUUCCCCAGCAUCACCACGGAAAUUAGCCGACCUCUCAACACGUCUGCAAGCACACAUGGGAAUAACUAUGACAAAAGGUUGCACUCAGGAGUAGAAACAAGCUACCAAGAAACCUGACUUUCUUUGAUGUUUAGUGCUGACAGGAAUGAAUGCUGAGUAAAGAUUCAUAAUUUGCUGGCAGAGACAGACAUUAAAGGUAGGGAUUGAGAACCAUGUCUCAAAGUUAUGGCCGUGGUAAAGAAGAGAUCACUUCUGACAUCAAGAGUUCUUUGCUUUCUGCCUUCAGAUUCCUAGGGGCUGAGGGGAGCCAUUUUGCCCUAUCCCACUCAUUUUUUGAUAGUUUUGUCAUUGUCACUAAAAUGAUCAGAAAAACAAAAGUUAUCAAUUAAAGAUUUUAUAGAAGUUAAUAUAAAAUUUCCAAUCCUACAUCAGAUAGUUUGCUGAGACCAGGGAUUUGGAGGGAUAGAAUCAGAGAAUCAGUUAAUAGGAUGGGGUUAAUCCUACACUGAGGACAUCUCUCUGGUUGGAUGCUACUGUCAUGGACUUACACUGCAUGGCCUACAAAAGGUUUGAAUGUUCACUUGCAAAGGACAGACCUACUAAUGAGUGUACAUGAGCCAUGAGAACAGAAACACGAGUUUCCCUAAGAGAUUGGAGCCCAGCCGACUGUGACAGACCUCAAUGAAGCAGAUAUGGUAGUCAGACACCAAAGGAUAUCCAUCAGAGACUACACAGUGCCUGGUAGAGAGGUGAGAUACAACACCCAGUGAUGAUUCCUUGUCCAGCAGUAACAUCUUACCCAACAGACAGCUUCAGAGAGCAGUGCACUGGAAUCACCAGAGGGCGUUGGUGACACUCUGGAGCACUGCAGCGUGUUUGUGUGCCCUAAUCACACAUGUCCUUAGAGCUGCUCCUUCACAUAUGUUCCCUGAUCAUAUGCUACGCCCUGGU